UACGUAGGUGGCAAGCGUUACUCGGAAUCACUAGGCGUAAAGCGCAGGUAGGAGGUUUGGUAAGUCUAUUGUGAAAGCUCCCGGCUUAACUGGGAGAGGUCAAUGGAAACUACCAGGCUGGAGUGCGGUAGAGGUAGCUGGAAUUCCCGGUAUAGCGGUGAAAUGCGUAGAUAUCGGGAGGAAUACCUAUGGCGAAAGCAGGCUACUGGACCGUCACUGACUCUGAUCUGCGAAAGCUAGGGGAGCAAACAGG
rnacentral:rRNA from 1 species